rnacentral:rRNA from 1 species
AGCGAACGCUGGCGGCAGGCCUAACACAUGCAAGUCGAACGAACUCUUCGGAGUUAGUGGCGGACGGGUGAGUAACACGUGGGAACGUGCCUUUUGGUUCGGAAUAACUCAGGGAAACUUGUGCUAAUACCGAAUGUGCCCUUCGGGGGAAAGAUUUAUCGCCAUUAGAGCGGCCCGCGUCUGAUUAGCUAGUUGGUGAGGUAACGGCUCACCAAGGCGACGAUCAGUAGCUGGUCUGAGAGGAUGACCAGCCACACUGGGACUGAGACACGGCCCAGACUCCUACGGGAGGCAGCAGUGGGGAAUCUUGCGCAAUGGGCGAAAGCCUGACGCAGCCAUGCCGCGUGUAUGAUGAAGGUCUUAGGAUUGUAAAAUUCUUUCACCGGGGACGAUAAUGACGGUACCCGGAGAAGAAGCCCCGGCUAACUUCGUG